rnacentral:rRNA from 1 species
UGGGGAAUUUUGGACAAUGGGCGAAAGCCUGAUCCAGCAAUGCCGCGUGUGUGAAGAAGGCCUUCGGGUUGUAAAGCACUUUUGUCCGGAAAGAAAUCCUUGGCUCUAAUACAGUCGGGGGAUGACGGUACCGGAAGAAUAAGCACCGGCUAACUACGUGCCAGCAGCCGCGGUAAUACAUAGGGUGCAAGCGUUAAUCGGAAUUACUGGGCGUAAAGCGUGCGCAGGCGGUUUGCUAAGACCGAUGUGAAAUCCCCGGGCUCAACCUGGGAACUGCAUUGGUGACUGGCAGGCUAGAGUAUGGCAGAGGGGGGUAGAAUUCCACGUGUAGCAGUGAAAUGCGUAGAGAUGUGGAGGAAUACCGAUGGCGAAGGCAGCCCCCUGGGCCAAUACUGACGCUCAUGCACGAAAGCGUGGGGAGCAAACAGGAUUAGAUACCCUGGUAGUCCACGCCCUAAACGAUGUCACUAGUUGUUGGGGAUUCAUUUCCUUAGUACGUAGCUAACGCGUGAAGUUGACCGCCUGGGGGAGUACGGUCGCAAGAUUAAACUCAAAGGAAUUGACGGGGUCAUAGCUGUUUCCU